rnacentral:rRNA from 1 species
CGAGGGGCAGCAGUCUUAGCUUUAAGCGAUGGCGACCGGCGCACGGGUGAGUAACACGUAUCCACCUGCCGUCUACUCUUGGACAGCCUUCUGAAAGGAAGAUUAAUACAAGAUGGCUUCACAUGUUUAAAGGUAUUCCGGUAGACGAUGGGGAUGCGUUCCAUUAGAUAGUAGGCGGGGUAACGGCCCACCUAGUCUUCGAUGGAUAGGGGUUCUGAGAGGAAGGUCCCCCACAUUGGAACUGAGACACGGUCCAAACUCCUACGGGAGGCAGCAGUGAGGAAUAUUGGUCAAUGGGCGAGAGCCUGAACCAGCCAAGUAGCGUGAAGGAUGACUGCCUAUGGGUUGUAAACUUCUUUUAUA